UACAGAGGGGGCAAGCGUUAUUCGGAAUUAUUGGGCGUAAAGGGCGCGUAGGCGGCUUUUCAAGUGACGGGUGAAAGCCCUCGGCUUAACCGAGGAACUGCCUGUCAGACUGGAAGGCUUGAGACCGGGAGAGGUGAGUGGAACUGCGAGUGUAGAGGUGAAAUUCGUAGAUAUUCGCAAGAACACCAGUGGCGAAGGCGGCUCACUGGCCCGGUACUGACGCUGAGGUGCGAAAGCGUGGGGAGCAAACAGGG
rnacentral:rRNA from 1 species